UCCCUCACAAGACUCGUUCCUUCUUCUGGCCGGUAUAGUUGCAUUUGCAGCCAUGGCCGGUUAUGCUUUGUCUUUAGGAAUUUUACAAAUUUCAACAGAAAGUGGUGAUUCUUAUCCGCACGAGAUCAUCGAUGAUGAUGAUGAA